rnacentral:lncRNA from 1 species
ACGGAAGACUAUGAUUGGCAUUGAUACAACGUCUGAUAGAAAAGAUGAAGAGAGAAAAGUAAAGAAGGAGCCUUUUGAGACAAAUCAGAGCUACAACUGUGGGAGAUGGAGAUGAUCUAUGUCGGUGGAAAGGUUAUCUCUCAACCAUUUCUUUUCUGGGUAUUAUAUUUGUUUCAAGUUUCAAAUUUUACACAUGCAGUUUCAAUUUCUCUUUUUGAGACGAUGGGGUUGGUGAACACAAUUUGCAGUAUCUAGCUAAUUUCGCUUUUAUUAUAUUGCUUUUUUUAGCUGCAUUGGGGUCUAUCUGAUUGUCAGAUGGAUUUGUUAAUUUCAUUUCUCCUUUCCUUCCUUGCAAAUCUUAUUUUUCUCAUUUAUUUACAGUCCAAUGUGCAGAUGGUCUUAAUGUGUGACGGGUUGCAGGAAGGGAAGUUGGUUGUGCAGAGACGGAGGUUUGGGACCUGAUCAGAUGGGAUGCAAUCAAUGGCAAGUGUGUAAGUGUGAUUUUUUAUUUUAUUUUACUUAUUUGAUUUGAGUUUUGUUGGAUCUAGAGCUUGAUUAUUUUCUCUUGCUGUGUUUAUCUACUUCUUCCUUUGUACUGUGGUCACCUAACAUGUUGUGUCCUGCUGCUGUCUACAACCAUGUGAUCACUGAUCUAUCUUUAUAAGAAAUGAACAUGCUGUAGCUGGAGCUAUUGAUGGAUGAAAACAAAAUCUGUAUAAUAAAAUAUAAAACAUGUUGAGUAAUGAGUUUGUUAAUUGUCGUUUCUAAACAUUCUCCUUACAUUUUGAUGUUAAUUGUUUGUGUUUGAUGCAAUUUUUCCUAUAUUGUUGGAGUGGAGAGAUGAUCCUGAGGUCAUUCUUGAUAAACAUACAUGGGAUUUAUCUCCAAAUCUGGCUGCAGAAGCAGCACCAGAUCAGCUUUGGAAAAUAACGACAAUAUAAGUGGCAGGAAACAUCAUGGUGUAGGCUACAAGAAUCACAUAAACCUCGAUGCUUUAUAUGUCAUGUCUUCCCACUUUUAACUAAGCUCUCUGAUUCUCUAUGUUAGUAAGUGACUUAAAUUAACCAAAGCAUUUAUUGAUCAAGGUGUGUUAGCAUUUAUUCUUAUGGCUUAUAAAAAAAAAUUGUAUUGCUCGAUGAGUAUGUUAAAUUGGAAAUAUUCUUUGACCAAGUGGCAUAGUCUAACUUAUACACGAUUGUCUUUGCUUAAUAACUAAGCAUUGUAGGUGCCACUAUUUUCUAUACAAAAAGAAAGUUGCUUAACGAGUUUGAAGGGAAGAUUUUCUAUAUAGAAAUUUCUAAUUAGAAUUUUAAGGGCUUAACAUGUUUAUGAAGUUUCAUGUUUAUGUUGCUUUGCAUAUAUGUCUCUGUUGGUGUGUAUCGGUCCCUCUUGAUUGGUGUAUGGUUUUAUCAAACUGAAACUUUUUCCAAUCAAAAUUCUUCUGUGCACAAUUAGUAAAUAGCUUGGCGAAUUAAUGUUACUAAAUUAAGAAACUAGGAAACAAACUUUGUUAUAAAAUGUGUUGCACUAUUAUGUGUUGCAGUAUAAAAUGUGUUGCACUAUGAUGUGGUGAAUCACAUAAUUUUAUUUGUUAGAGGUGUAGAACUGCUGCCACAUCAGUUCUAUAUACUGACUUACAUUGCUUUUUUAAAUUUACAGUUCAUGAAAUAGAGCCAAAACAAUGUGAUUCUGAAGUGAACUACAUGAACACUUUGGUUCAUAUUAUGAUGACGUUUUUUAGGAGGGUGGAAAAAGAGUCAU